rnacentral:rRNA from 3 species
GAAUGCUGACAUAAGUAACGAUAAAGCGGGUGAAAAGCCCGCUCGCCGGAAGACCAAGGGUUCCUGUCCAACGUUAAUCGGGGCAGGGUGAGUCGACCCCUAAGGCGAGGCCGAAAGGCGUAGUCGAUGGGAAACGGGUUAAUAUUCCCGUACUUGGUGUUACUGCGAAGGGGGGACGGAGAAGGCUAUGUUGGCCGGGCGACGGUUGUCCCGGUUUAAGCGUGUAGGCUGGUUUUCCAGGCAAAUCCGGAAAAUCAAGGCUGAGGCGUGAUGACGAGGCACUACGGUGCUGAAGCAACAAAUGCCCUGCUUCCAGGAAAAGCCUCUAAGCAUCAGGUAACAUCAAAUCGUACCCCAAACCGACACAGGUGGUCAGGUAGAGAAUACCAAGGCGCUUGAGAGAACUCGGGUGAAGGAACUAGGCAAAAUGGUGCCGUAACUUCGGGAGAAGGCACGCUGACACGUAGGUGAAGUGAUUUACUCAUGGAGCUGAAGUCAGUCGAAGAUACCAGCUGGCUGCAACUGUUUAUUAAAAACACAGCACUGUGCAAACACGAAAGUGGACGUAUACGGUGUGACGCCUGCCCGGUGCCGGAAGGUUAAUUGAUGGGGUCAGCGCAAGCGAAGCUCCUGAUCGAAGCCCCGGUAAACGGCGGCCGUAACUAUAACGGUCCUAAGGUAGCGAAAUUCCUUGUCGGGUAAGUUCCGACCUGCACGAAUGGCGUAAUGAUGGCCAGGCUGUCUCCACCCGAGACUCAGUGAAAUUGAACUCGCUGUGAAGAUGCAGUGUACCCGCGGCAAGACGGAAAGACCCCGUGAACCUUUACUAUAGCUUGACACUGAACAUUGAGCCUUGAUGUGUAGGAUAGGUGGGAGGCUUUGAAGUGUGGACGCCAGUCUGCAUGGAGCCGACCUUGAAAUACCACCCUUUAAUGUUUGAUGUUCUAACGUGGACCCGUUACCCGGGUUGCGGACAGUGUCUGGUGGGUAGUUUGACUGGGGCGGUCUCCUCCUAAAGAGUAACGGAGGAGCACGAAGGUUGGCUAAUCCUGGUCGGACAUCAGGAGGUUAGUGCAAUGGCAUAAGCCAGCUUGACUGCGAGCGUGACGGCGCGAGCAGGUGCGAAAGCAGGUCAUAGUGAUCCGGUGGUUCUGAAUGGAAGGGCCAUCGCUCAACGGAUAAAAGGUACUCCGGGGAUAACAGGCUGAUACCGCCCAAGAGUUCAUAUCGACGGCGGUGUUUGGCACCUCGAUGUCGGCUCAUCACAUCCUGGGGCUGAAGUAGGUCCCAAGGGUAUGGCUGUUCGCCAUUUAAAGUGGUACGCGAGCUGGGUUUAGAACGUCGUGAGACAGUUCGGUCCCUAUCUGCCGUGGGCGCUGGAGAACUGAGGGGGGCUGCUCCUAGUACGAGAGGACCGGAGUGGACGCAUCACUGGUGUUCGGGUUGUCAUGCCAAUGGCACUGCCCGGUAGCUAAAUGCGGAAGAGAUAAGUGCUGAAAGCAUCUAAGCACGAAACUUGCCCCGAGAUGAGUUCUCCCUGAGACUUAGAGUCUCCUGAAGGAACGUUGAAGACGACGACGUUGAUAGGCCGGGUGUGUAAGCGCAGCGAUGCGUUGAGCUAACCGGUACUAAUGAACCGUGAGGCUUAACCUUACAACGCCG